AGUGAACGCUGGCGGUAGGCCUAACACAUGCCAGUCGAACGGCAGCACAGUAAGAGCUUGCUCUUACGGGUGGCGAGUGGCGGACGGGUGAGGAAUACAUCGGAAUCUACUUUUUCGUGGGGGAUAACGUAGGGAAACUUACGCUAAUACCGCAUACGACCUACGGGUGAAAGCAGGGGAUCUUCGGACCUUGCGCGAUUGAAUGAGCCGAUGUCGGAUUAGCUAGUUGGCGGGGUAAAGGCCCACCAAGGCGACGAUCCGUAGCUGGUCUGAGAGGAUGAUCAGCCACACUGGAACUGAGACACGGUCCAGACUCCUACGGGAGGCAGCAGUGGGGAAUAUUGGACAAUGGGCGCAAGCCUGAUCCAGCCAUACCGCGUGGGUGAAGAAGGCCUUCGGGUUGUAAAGCCCUUUUGUUGGGAAAGAAAAGCAGCAGGAUAAUACCCCGCUGUUCUGACGGUACCCAAAGAAUAAGCACCGGCUAACUUCGUG
rnacentral:rRNA from 1 species